UUCGCCCUUAGAGUUUGAUCCUGGCUCAGGACGAACGCUGGCGGCGUGCCUAACACAUGCAAGUCGAGCGAGUGGAGUUCUUCGGAACAAAGCUAGCGGCGGACGGGUGAGUAACACGUGGGCAACCUGCCUCAUAGAGGGGAAUAGCCUCCCGAAAGGGAGAUUAAUACCGCAUAAGAUUGUAGCUUCGCAUGAAGUAGCAAUUAAAGGAGCAAUCCGCUAUGAGAUGGGCCCGCGGCGCAUUAGCUAGUUGGUGAGGUAAUGGCUCACCAAGGCGACGAUGCGUAGCCGACCUGAGAGGGUGAUCGGCCACAUUGGGACUGAGACACGGCCCAGACUCCUACGGGAGGCAGCAGUGGGGAAUAUUGCACAAUGGGGGAAACCCUGAUGCAGCAACGCCGCGUGAGUGAUGACGGCCUUCGGGUUGUAAAGCUCUGUCUUCAGGGACGAUAAUGACGGUACCUGAGGAGGAAGCCACGGCUAACUACGUGCCAGCAGCCGCGGUAAUACGUAGGUGGCGAGCGUUGUCCGGAUUUACUGGGCGUAAAGGGAGCGUAGGCGGACUUUUAAGUGAGAUGUGAAAUACCCGGGCUCAACUUGGGUGCUGCAUUUCAAACUGGAAGUCUAGAGUGCAGGAGAGGAGAAUGGAAUUCCCUAGUGUAGCGGUGAAAUUGCGUAAAGAUUUAGGAAGAAACACCAGUGGCGAAAGCGAUUCUCUGGACUGUAACUGACCCUGAGGCUCGAAAGCGUGGGGGAGCAAACGGGAUUAGAUACCCUGGUAGUCCCCGCCGUAAACCGAUGAAUACUAGGUGUAGGGGUUGUCAUGACCUCUGUGCCGCCGCUAACGCAUUAAGUAUUCCGCCUGGGGAGUACGGUCGCAAGAUUAAAACUCAAAGGAAUUGACGGGGGCCCGCACAAGCAGCGGAGCAUGUGGUUUAAUUCGAAGCAACGCGAAGAACCUUACCUAGACUUGACAUCUCCUGCAUUACCCUUAAUCGGGGAAGUUCCUUCGGGGACAGGAAGACAGGUGGUGCAUGGUUGUCGUCAGCUCGUGUCGUGAGAUGUUGGGUUAGGUCCCGCAACGAGCGCAACCCUUAUUGUUAGUUGCUACCAUUUAGUUGAGCACUCUAGCGAGACUGCCCGGGUUAACCGGGAGGAAGGUGGGGAUGACGUCAAAUCAUCAUGCCCCUUAUGUCUAGGGCUACACACGUGCUACAAUGGCAAGUACAAAGAGAAGCAAGACCGCGAGGUGGAGCAAAACUCAAAAACUUGUCUCAGUUCGGAUUGUAGGCUGAAACUCGCCUACAUGAAGCUGGAGUUGCUAGUAAUCGCGAAUCAGCAUGUCGCGGUGAAUACGUUCCCGGGCCUUGCACUCACAGCCCGUCA
rnacentral:rRNA from 1 species